rnacentral:misc_RNA from 1 species
GCUUGCAUCGACUCACAUUCCUUUUCGAGCACAGCAUCACGCGCGCACCACCACCACCACCACACACUCUCUAUCACCAUGUCCGUUGAGGAGGCCCAGAACGCGGCGGCGAUGGCCGACGAGGAGAUCCCGACGCUCGAGGCGGCUGAGGUGCCACAGAACGCGAAGCAGUCGAAGCGCUACGCCAAGGCCAUGGCCAAGAUGGGCCUCAAGCCGGAGUCCAACAUUACGAAGGUCACCAUUCGCAAGGUUGGCUCCCUGUCCUUCGCCAUGGUGCAGCCAGAGGUGUACCGCUUCCCUGGCACCAACACCUUCGUCAUCUUCGGCGAGGCGCAGCUGGAGGACACGAGUGCGCUAGCGCAGGAGGCUGCUGCCCGCGCUGCCGUGUCUGGUGCCGCGUCGGCUUCCUCUGACGCCGCUGCAUCUGUGCCGGCGGCGGAGGAAGAUGACGACGAGGAGGUGGGCGCCGGCGACCUGGACGAGAAGGAGAUCAACGUGGUGAUGAGCCAGGCGAACGUGUCUCGCAACAAGGCCAUCAAGGCGCUCAAGAACAACAACGGCGACAUCGUCAACACCAUCAUGGAGCUAACCAUGUAGAGCCGAUGGGAAAGCAAGAGGUGGGAGGCGGCCGUGCGCUGCCGAUGACCUCUCGAACUUCACGGCUCCGAUGAACGUCGAAGAUCAUGUUACGCAUGUUGCUGACUCUGCACGCCACGCCACUGAGUCGCACCGGCACACGUGUGCAAGGCAUCCACUGCCGGCAGCAGUCACGGUGGUGAUGAGGAAGCGGGAUGUCGACAGAAGGGCCAGGCUGCUGCGUCUAUGUGCUCACCGGGGGCGCACACGCAUUCCGUUCUCUCCAUCGCAUGCGGUCCGGCUGGCCCUUGACCCCCUCCCCCCGCACCCCUCUUUCGGCCAUCACCACCACCGGCCGGGUGCAUCGUGUUCUCGCCGUCCGCAUCGGCUUGCGCGUGUGUAUGCGGGGGCGGGCGCACGUCUCUCCUAAACGCCGCGGCACACGGACGCGCUCCACCUUCGCGUUGAAAUCCCUCUUUCGUUUCCGUUUUACCUACGGGCAUGGGCCUUGCCGCCGCCUUCACAGCAGCGGAGAGCGGUGGGAAGGGGGGAGGCGGCGCGCGGGUGCAUCGCACAGCGCCAGCGUGUGAGCCUGUGCUCCGCUAAUUUCUGGUCUGUGGUGUGGUUCAUGUCAAGAAGCCUUACUCGCCCUUUUCCGUUGCCUCAUUUACAUGAUUUUGCAC